UACAGAGGCUACGAGCGUUGUUCGGAUUUACUGGGCGUAAAGGGUGCGUAGGUUGUAUCGAGAGUCGCGGGUGAAAUCCCAGGGCUUAACCCUGGAACUGCCUGCGAGACCUCGAUACUAGAGUGUGAGAGGGGAUACUGGAAUUCCUGGUGUAGCGGUGAAAUGCGUAGAUAUCAGGAGGAACACCGGUGGCGAAGGCGGGUAUCUGGCUCACAACUGACACUGAGGCACGAAAGCGUGGGGAUCAAACAGG
rnacentral:rRNA from 1 species